rnacentral:rRNA from 1 species
UACGAAGGGGGCUAGCGUUGUUCGGAAUUACUGGGCGUAAAGGGCGCGUAGGCGGCGUGUCAAGUCAGGCGUGAAAGCCCCGGGCUCAACCUGGGAACCGCGCUUGAGACUGGCAUGCUCGAGUUCGGGAGAGGAUGGUGGAAUUCCCAGUGUAGAGGUGAAAUUCGUAGAUAUUGGGAAGAACACCGAUGGCGAAGGCAGCCAUCUGGACCGACACUGACGCUGAGGCGGCGAAAGCGUGGGGAGCAAACAGG